UUUAAACAGCUGCAUAUUAUCAAGAUAUCAAAGUGUCACCAACAAAAAGUAGCGCAAACAAAAAGGGAGGCUUCUGAGCGGGAGUCAAGCCAUGGAGGAGUAGCUGGUAGUCCAGGAGAAGUUGAGAGUGGACCAACAGAGGACGUACGAAGAGAAUAUGAACCAGCUGAUGGAGAGGAAGGACAGAGAAGGUAGAAAUGCCGUAGCAGAGCAUGACAGAGUUCUACAGGCCAGACUCAAGGAGCAGAAUGACCCUUUCCAGCAAGGGUUUGAUGACAGAGCAGACCAAAUGCAAAGAGAGAUGCUCUUAAGGGAGCAAAUGCACAAGAGGAAGAGAAUAGGCCUUAAUUUAUGAGCAAGGCUCUGGAUAAGGGAAUAAUUCCCAAAGUAGGAGGAAUGGCCUUAAAUUGGCUGUCAAAGUUGUUCUGAUGAAGGUUCUUGAAAUUGAUUU